UACGGAGGGUGCAAGCGUUGUCCGGAUUUAUUGGGUUUAAAGGGUGCGUAGGCGGGUCUUUAAGUCAGUGGUGAAAGCCCACAGCUCAACUGUGGAAUUGCCAUUGAUACUGGGGACCUUGAGUUCAGUUGAGGUAAGCGGAAUUUAUGGUGUAGCGGUGAAAUGCAUAGAUACCAUAAAGAACACCGAUUGCGAAGGCAGCUUACUGGGCUUGGACUGACGCUGAGGUGCGAAAGCGUGGGGAGCAAACAGG
rnacentral:misc_RNA from 1 species